ACAAUAUACCCAGGAUACAUACAUGACCUGAUGUCAGGACAUCCUGUGGCCCAGGAAAGUUGACACAUACAAUGAACCAUCACAUUGACCAAGAGCCAGAAAAUAUGGAAAAAGAGCCAUCCAAUGAGCACGACAAAGGAGCAGAAUUCCUAGGCAAAAGGAUACUGGGAGAACAGGAGGAGCAUGCUCAAGGACACAACAUAGAUGGUCACUCCCGCCUUUUGAGCUCUUUGUAAAACUGCCAUAAGAGGCUGCAGUUCAGUGACAAAGUAAUGCAACUUGGCAAGGAAAAGAGUAAAGCCUGGUGAUGAGAAGAAAAAAUGCAAGAAAAUGAAAAUCAGGAGUCAAACAAUGUAGAACAGCUUCUUACCCCCAUCCAUACCCCAUGGCCCAGGCCCUCAGCAUUGAUGGCAUUGUCUCUGCACAGCCAGAAUUUUAGGAAAUGCAUGCCAAUAUUGACAUUACCUCACGUAAUGAAAUCAAGAUUGGAGGCUGGCCCAGUGAUGGCCCAUCUGGAGAAGAGCCUCACGCCAAAGCUGCUAUCUCCCUUUUCCCUUUUUCUUCACACCUCACACUGAGAGACAAGACCACCUUAGAAUGUGGCUUCUUCCAAAAGAGCAUUUGGCAGCUUUUUUCCAAGCCUGAGGGUAGACUGAGAAGUGGUUUCUUCUUUUUCCUAAUACAGGUAUUAAGCUGACUUAAUAUUCACUUACUCUGAAAAAUCCCACUUCACAGAAACAUUUUUUAACAUGAGCCAAAGUGUUUCUCCCUAAUUCAGCACAAUUGCGCCUGGUUUAUAUCCAUUGAUGUUAAAUGAUUUCCCGUUUAAUAUCAAUUGGAAAUGGCUGAUUUCCUACCCCAAACAGUACUUAAUGUCAAUUAUGGCAGGCAGGGCAGAGCUGUUUUUCAAUUAACUACACCACUCCAUUUUGUUUGCUGGUGAAUGGUGCAAAACACACGCACACAGAGCCACCUUGUGAAACAGUGACAGACAGGGAUGUGGUAUCGAUUUUGCUCCCUGCUCCUGACCAUUGGUUUAGGAAAUGGUGGUGUGGGAUGAGGGUUGGCAGGGAGUGGUGGGAGCUUCCCUUUCCCUUUUCUCCAGGGACCAGUUACGGUUUAAUGAGAACCUACCCUUCCAUCAGAGGAACCUCUGGUCUGGUAAUGACCAGAACUCGUUGGGGAAAGUACAACACUUAACCAUAAACAGUUUUGCUAGAACAGAGUUCACAGACAUGUGGAAGGGGGUUUUGGAUUCAAAGGAGGAUGUGACUGUGAGGUGGCUUCUCUAGUAAUUCUCCGAGAGCCUGGGUGUGGUUGUGGUGUGGUUGGCUGAGCAUGCCAGCCAACAUUUAUUGAACGCCUACUGUGGGUCAGCAACAUCAUGUUAUUUAAUCCUCUCAAUAACCUUGCCAGAGUACAUGUCUGUUACGGAGGUGUCCAUGUCUGAGGCCAAUAAGAUUGUCUAAUGCCAUUGAGCUCUUCAGCACUUGAA
rnacentral:lncRNA from 1 species